rnacentral:lncRNA from 1 species
AGCUGGAGGAUGCGAGAGUUCGAGGUCAAACGGGAUGUGUGAACCAUUGUGAACAUGAUGGCCGACCUGCAGCCUGCCAGCAGAAGUUGUUUGGUGUGUGCAAGACCUGAGGAUACACAGCCUGGAUCGAACCAGAACCCUGGAGGGACUCCGCUCCGCCUGACGCUGCCAGAAUAUAGAGGGAAAACAAAUCCCUCCUCCUUUCUUGACCUGGCAGAUGGCCGAGCUGUUGACCUGGACGAUUAGAUCAGAGGUGAUGAAGACGAUCGGGAG